AGAGCACUACUGCAACUACACCACCACAGAGCACUCCUGCAACUGCACCAAACACCACCACAGAGCACAAAUGCAACUGCACCAAACACCACCACAGAGCACUGCUGCAACUACACCAAACACCACCACAGAGCACAAAUGCAACUACACCAAACACCACCACAGAGCACAAAUGCAACUACACCAAACACCACCACAGAGCACAAAUGCAACUACACCAAACACCACCACAGAGCACUCCUGCAACUACACCAAACACCACCACAGAGCACUACUGCAACUACACCAAACACCACCACAGAGCACUACUACAACUACACCAAACACCACCACAGAGCACUACUACAACUACACCAAACACCACCACAGAGCACUCCUGCAACUGCACCAAACACCACCACAGAGCACAAAUGCAA
rnacentral:lncRNA from 10 species